rnacentral:misc_RNA from 1 species
ACAAACUUGGUCAUUUAGAGGAAGUAAAAGUCGUAACAAGGUUUCCGUAGCUCAAGUACGGGACAGCCCGGCCGCGAGGCCGGGGUGAUCCUUCCGCGUAACACUUGCCGAAGCCUUAGCAGCCCGAAAGGGUGCAUCCCACGACUAUAACCAGAGGAUGCUCAAAUGCUAGUCUGCUGUUGCAGGCGACACUGCCAAAUUGCGGGGACCCCCUAAAGACCUCAACACCAAGCGUCGCGGGAAACCGUGGCGUAGGUGAACCUGCGGAAGGAUCAUUACCGAGUUCGGUGCCCUCUGGGUGCCCACUCCCACCACAUGUGUACCUGUUCUGUUGCUUCGGCGGGGCGCGGUUCGCCCCUCUGGCUUCUGCUGGAGCGUCCCCGCCGGAGACCCUCAAACUCGAUUAAUUUGAUGUCUGAGCAAAACUUAAAAAAUCAAAACUUUCAACAACGGAUCUCUUGGUUCUGGCAUCGAUGAAGAACGCAGC